rnacentral:rRNA from 1 species
GCACCUGAUGGCGAGUGGCGAACGGGUGAGUAAUGCAUCGGAACGUGCCCAGUCGUGGGGGAUAACGCAGCGAAAGCUGUGCUAAUACCGCAUACGAUCUAUGGAUGAAAGCGGGGGACCUUCGGGCCUCGCGCGAUUGGAGCGGCCGAUGUUAGAUUAGGUAGUUGGUGGGGUAAAGGCUCACCAAGCCGACGAUCUAUAGCUGGUCUGAGAGGACGACCAGCCACACUGGAACUGAGACACGGUCCAGACUCCUACGGGAGGCAGCAGUGGGGAAUUUUGGACAAUGGGCGAAAGCCUGAUCCAGCAAUACCGCGUGCAGGAAGAAGGCCCUCGGGUUGUAAACUGCUUUUGUACGGAACGAAACGGCGCGCUCUAAUAAAGUGCGCUAAUGACGGUACCGUAAGAAUAAGCACCGGCUAACUACGUGCCAGCAGCCGCGGUAAUACGUAGGGUGCAAGCGUUAAUCGGAAUUACUGGGCGUAAAGCGUGCGCAGGCGGUUUUGUAAGACAGGCGUGAAAUCCCCGGGCUUAACCUGGGAAUUGCGCUUGUGACUGCAAGGCUAGAGUACGGUAGAGGGGGGUAGAAUUCCGCGUGUAGCAGUGAAAUGCGUAGAUAUGCGGAGGAACACCGAUGGCGAAGGCAGCCCCCUGGACCUGUACUGACGCUCAUGCACGAAAGCGUGGGGAGCAAACAGGAUUAGAUACCCUGGUAGUCCACGCCCUAAACGAUGUCAACUGGUUGUUGGGAAUUUACUUUCUCAGUAACGAAGCUAACGCGUGAAGUUGACCGCCUGGGGAGUACGGC